rnacentral:lncRNA from 1 species
UCCCAAUACUUGGCUCGCUUCAAAAUCUCAGCCCUAACCCUCGCUGUUGCGCGUUCACGCGCCGUGGAGCCAUGUCCCAAUACCAGUUUAAAGGUAGCUUAAGGGGUAGGGGGAGGGCUAACAUCCCCUCAAAAUUUAGAUUUUCGAUGGCGCUUCAGUUCUGACUUGCUCCCACAAUACCUUGCGAGAAAACGGAAAAUCAAGAAAUAUCCUAGACAAGAUGGAGGGCGAAAAGAUGCGACAGGAUUGGAAAAACACAAAUGACUUCGUUGAGUCCACUGCCACCAGCCCCCCCCACCUCUCCCUCAUGCUCCUCCACCCCAGGCACCUCUUUCACCACCCCAGACACCCCUUCCAAGAGGAGAGUUCCAGGGAGCAGGCGAGGCAUGAGGAGAGCGAGGCAAAGUUGGCGGAAUGGUGGAGAAGAUGUGAUCCUCCACCAUUCUCUCAAAAGCUGAGAGAGAGUGUGUGUGUGUGUGUGUAUUUUUAGGUGUGCGUGUGUGUGUAUUUUUAGAUGCGUGUGUGUGUAUUUUUAGAUGUGUGGUUCAGUGUUUCUUAUUUAAAUAAAGUUUUUCUUCUAAAGUGUUCUUGUUCAUAACCGAUUAUUAUCUAAGGGUGCACUCACACUAGGCCAACUGGCAGUGGCCGUGGCCGUUUUAGCACCUAACCGUGCUCAAAUCUGUCAGUGUGAGUGUGGCCAGUCUGGCCAGGCCGGGCCAAUUUGGCCACUUGGGAGAGGUGUGCUGCUACGGCACGGGCCGCUACGGUACAGAUGCUAAUGAGCCGACACGCGCUACGCAACCUGAGCUGGAUGACGUAUAGUCAAUGCGAAGACCAC